AUUGAACGCUGGCGGCAUGCCUUACACAUGCAAGUCGAACGGUAACGGGCCUUCGGGUGCCGACGAGUGGCGAACGGGUGAGUAAUGUAUCGGAACGUACCUUUCAGUGGGGGAUAACGUAGCGAAAGUUACGCUAAUACCGCAUAUUCUGUGAGCAGGAAAGCAGGGGAUCGCAAGACCUUGCGCUGAUUGAGCGGCCGAUAUCAGAUUAGCUAGUUGGUGAGGUAAAAGCUCACCAAGGCGACGAUCUGUAGCGGGUCUGAGAGGAUGAUCCGCCACACUGGAACUGAGACACGGUCCAGACUCCUACGGGAGGCAGCAGUGGGGAAUUUUGGACAAUGGGGGCAACCCUGAUCCAGCCAUGCCGCGUGAGUGAAGAAGGCCUUCGGGUUGUAAAGCUCUUUCGGCCGGGAAGAAAUCGCAUGGGUUAAUACCCUGUGCGGAUGACGGUACCGGCAUAAGAAGCACCGGCUAACUACGUGCCAGCCGCCGCGGUAAGAC
rnacentral:rRNA from 1 species